AAGAAAUCAAUUUGAAAUAUGAAAAAUAUUUUUCUGAAAAAAACAAUUUUCUCGUAAAUCUUUCAUUAAAUUUUAUAAAAUUAUUGUUAUGUCUUUAAAACUGAAUUGGAGUAAUCUUCAAGAAACUCUAUUGGUUGGACACUUUUAAUGGUCAUAGAUUCUAUAAGAAACCUUCAAUACUAGUCAACAAUAAAUUAUCCUCGCCCGUUAAUAUCUUCCAAGGAUAUGGUAAAAAAGGCCAAUCUGAAAUGCUGUUAUACGUUAUAGGAACACCAGCAACAUAUCACCCCAUAGGUAUCAACAACAAUAAUAACCUUUGGAACAUCCUUCACAGAAAAAUCUUUUCCAAUAUCACUUAAGUGAUGUUUCCACAAACAAAACUUCUUGUAUAUGUAUAAUGGCUACAAAACUGAAUUCAAUCAAUCAUAAAGGAACACUUUUUGUUGGACACUCUUAAUGGUCUAAGAUAUUUUAGCCAAAGUUCAGUACCCGUCAGCUUUGAAAUACCCACUAAGGUUCUGGUAAACAUUUUCGACCUAUCUACCAGCUUAAUGGAACACCAGCAACAUGCCAUCCGCUAAAAGUAUCAAAUUCACUCAAGUGAUGUG